rnacentral:tRNA from 1 species
GCCCCGGUAGCUCAACGGUAGAGCACUGCUUUCGUAAAGCAGGGGUUGGCGGUUCAAAUCCGCCCCGGGGCUCCA